AUCAGCACAGUCCCAGAAGUCAUCAUCGCAAGACACUGUGGGCUCCGUGCCUUUGGUUUCUCACUCAUUACUAACGAGGUUGUCGUGGGUUACGAGAACUUGGAGAAGGCCAAUCACAAGGAAGUUCUGGAGACCAGGGAAACAGCUGCAUAGAUGUCUCCGAGCGUGACAACUGACUGGCCAUGGAGGGCUGCAGUGCUCUCCCAGCGGUGUCCAUGUAGCUGUCUUCUCUGGUCCCUUGCCUGGGGUCACUAGUCCCUGUUCUUAGAGUCUAGCAUAAAGGAAAGAGGAGGAUGCCCACCCUUCACCUUCCCGAUAGAUAUCCUUCCAAUGCUCUCACGCCCGGUCCUCUCGCUCGAUAGAUAUCCUUCCAAUGCUCUCACGCCUGGUCCUCUCGCUCGAUAGAUAUCCUUCCAAUGCUCUCACGCCUGGUCCUCUCGCUCAGUUGCCUUCUCAAAUUAACUUUCAUUCCUCUGGAAGAGCUGGAGUUCACUUCCCAGCACACUUGGGAUACAUGCCUUCAAACAAUACCUUCUACAUCCCGGAGAUGACAGACAUGUUCUGGGCUCAGUCUGCUUCCCCUAAAGCCCUGGAAACCAAAGUUCAACCCAAUACCUCUUGGAUUUUAUUUAGCAUCAUAAUGUCUUGAGAAUUAAGAUAUCAGAUACUUUAAAAAAAAAAAAGAA
rnacentral:lncRNA from 1 species